AAAACCAAGUUCGUCUCUUAACUCAGUUUAGACAUCAGAUUAAAAUUGAAGGCGCUUUACAUGUAUUCCGCUGGAUUCUACAUCUACUCCACCUUUGCUUUGGUGUUUUGGGAACAAGGCGUUCUGACUUUGUAGUGUCAAUGUCUCAUCAUUUAGCAACUACGAUUUUAAUUGUGGCGUCUUACAUAUUCAAGUUUUCUCGAGUAGGCUCGGUCAUUUUAGCUCUCCAUGAAGGAUCUGAUGUGUUUUUAGAAAUUGUGAAGUUGUCAAAAUAUUGUGGCUUUGAAAUGCUUGCCGGCAUUGCUUUUGUUAGUUUUGUUCUCUCUUGGACGGUACUACGCCUUAUUUACUUUCCAUUCUGGAUAAUAUGGAGUACCAGGUUAGUUAAAUGUGCAGAGA